rnacentral:rRNA from 1 species
GGAGUUAGCCGGUGCUUCUUCUGUGAGUGAUGUCCUUCCUGCCGGCUAUUAACCCGCAGGCCUUCUUCCUCACUGAAAGUGCUUUACAACCCGAAGGCCUUCUUCACACACGCGGCAUGGCUGGAUCAGGGUUGCCCCCAUUGUCCAAUAUUCCCCACUGCUGCCUCCCGUAGGAGUCUGGGCCGUGUCUCAGUCCCAGUGUGGCUGAUCAUCCUCUCAGACCAGCUACGGAUCGUCGCCUUGGUGAGCCGUUACCUCACCAACCAGCUAAUCCGACAUAGGCUCAUCCGAUAGCGCGAGGCCCGAAGGUCCCCCGGCUUUCCCCCGUAGGGCGUAUGCGGUAUUAGCCUGGGUUUCCCCAGGUUAUCCCCCACUACCGGGCAGAUUCCUAUGCAUUACUCACCCGUCCGCCGCUCGCCACCAGGGAGCAAGCUCCCCGUUGCUCGCCGCUCGUACUUGCAUGUGUUACGGUCCGUCGCCGCCACGUCGUUACAACUCUAGACGCCAGACUACAAACUCUAGA